rnacentral:rRNA from 1 species
UACGGGGGGGGCGAAGCGUUGUUCGGAAUUACUGGGCGUAAAGGGCUCGUAGGCGGCCAACUAAGUCAGACGUGAAAUCCCUCGGCUUAACCGGGGAACUGCAUCUGAUACUGGAUGGCUUGAGUUCGGGAGAGGGAUGCGGAAUUCCAGGUGUAGCGGUGAAAUGCGUAGAGAUCUGGAGGAACACCGAUGGCGAAGGCGACCCCCUGGGCCGGCCCUGACACUGAGACGCGAAGGCGUGGGGAGCGAACGGG